ensembl:snRNA U6 U6 spliceosomal RNA
UUGCUUCAGCAGCACAUAUACUAAAAUUGGAAUGAUACGGAGAUUGGCAUGGCCCCUGCAUAAGGCAAGAGCCUGUUGAAAGAACAACUUAAUGCUACUAUU